rnacentral:rRNA from 1 species
GCAGCAGCCGCGGUAAAACAGAGGGUGCGAGCGUUAAUCGGAUUUACUGGGCGUAAAGCGUGCGUAGGCGGCUUCUUAAGUCGGAUGUGAAAUCCCUGAGCUUAACUUAGGAAUUGCAUUCGAUACUGGGAAGCUAGAGUAUGGGAGAGGAUGGUAGAAUUCCAGGUGUAGCGGUGAAAUGCGUAGAGAUCUGGAGGAAUACCGAUGGCGAAGGCAGCCAUCUGGCCUAAUACUGACGCUGAGGUACGAAAGCAUGGGGAGCAAACAGGAUUAGAUACCCGAGUAGUCCCUGUCUCUUAUAC